rnacentral:lncRNA from 1 species
CGUGCAGGUCCGUUACAUAGGUAUACAUGUGCCAUGGUGGUUUGCUGAACCCAUCAACCCGUCAUCUUCAAAGAUAAGGCCUUCAGUAUAUCAAGAUCAGUGGAUCAAAGAAACAUCCUCAAGAAACUAAGAAACAACACAAGAUUCUCUCUGAUGAAAUGCUUAAGUAUAAGGAAAAUGAUGGAAGACACAGAAGAGCAGCAGAAUUGGGUAGAAGACUACUACAGAUGCCAGAUCGCCACUUCUGAAAGAAAGGCUUACGACAACUGGCUCUGUGUUUAAGCCUCGCAGAGGGAGAUGCAAGAGAAGAAGGCUGCCUACAAGCAGCACAGAUAGGAAAUGAUUGAAAAACAGAGAGUGCUGGAGAGACACAUUAGUCAGGAGCCAGCUAGUGGACAACCAGGCAUAGAGAAUCAUCCCCAAAGAGGUCAAUAUGGCUUUGGGAGGGCCCCUUUUUCAGGAUUGCCCUACUUGCUCUACUGCAUGGCUGGCUCUUCAGGACCAUUUGUGGGCUGCCAGACACCUCCUCUGCCUGGGUGGCCUCUGGGAACACGACCACUGCCUCCAUGCACACCACUUGGACAAGCUGAAAUUUGAAGAGGCCCCUGAGCUGUGACAGCCAUGCUGUGGCUCCUACAUAACUUGGAAAAGUAUCCAAUACAUUUUACGCUGCCUGCCCAGUGCUGCCUCAUCUGUCUCUAAUCUUCUGUAGUGUUUCCCCUAAUAAAGGUUUGCAGUCCUA